rnacentral:rRNA from 1 species
CGUUCGCCUGGGGACUACGAGCACUAGCUUAAAACCCAAAGGACUUGGCGGUGCUUUAGAUCCACCUAGAGGAGCCUGUUCUGGAACCGAUAACCCCCGUUUAACCUCACCCUCCCUUGCUUAUUCCGCCUAUAUACCGCCGUCGUCAGCUUACCCUGUGAAGGCAGCAUAGUAAGCAAAACCAGUACAACUCAAAACGUCAGGUCGAGGUGUAGCAUACGGGAGGGGAAGAAAUGGGCUACAUUCUCUGGUUAAGAGAAUACGGAUAAUGACAUGAAAAAUCAUUUGAAGGAGGAUUUAGUAGUAAGCAAAAAGCAGAGUGUUUUGCUGAAACCGGCCCUGAAGCGCGCA